UACGAAGGGGGCUAGCGUUGCUCGGAAUCACUGGGCGUAAAGGGUGCGUAGGCGGGUCUUUAAGUCAGGGGUGAAAUCCUGGAGCUCAACUCCAGAACUGCCUUUGAUACUGAGGAUCUUGAGUUCGGGAGAGGUGAGUGGAACUGCGGAGUGUAGAGGUGAAAUUCGUAGAUAUUGCAAGAACACCAGUGGCGAAGGCGCUCACUGGCCCGAGUACUGACGCUGAGGCACGAAGGCCAGGG
rnacentral:rRNA from 1 species